rnacentral:rRNA from 1 species
AGAACGAACGCUGGCGGCAUGCCUAAUACAUGCAAGUCGAACGAACACUUCGGUGUUAGUGGCGCACGGGUGCGUAACGCGUGGGAAUCUGCCCUUGGGUUCGGAAUAACAGUUGGAAACGACUGCUAAUACCGGAUGAGUAUCGAAAGAUCAAAGAUUUAUCGCCCAGGGAUGAGCCCGCGUAGGAUUAGCUAGUUGGUGAGGUAAAGGCUCACCAAGGCGACGAUCCUUAGCUGGUCUGAGAGGAUGAUCAGCCACACUGGGACUGAGACACGGCCAGACUCCGUAGGGAGGCAGCAGUAGGGAAUAUGGACAAGUGGCGCAAGCCUGAUCGAGCCAGUACCGCGUGGGUAGAAGAAGGCCGUUAGGUAGUAAACGUCCUUUGGUUAAGGAAAGAAAGCUAGUUACGGUAA